rnacentral:ncRNA from 1 species
UAAGGGGUGCUGAUGCAGUCCGGCCCCGGCCGGAAGCAAAGGCUGAGAUGAUACCCUCUGACCUGAUCGGGAUAAUGCCCGCGUAGGAAACCGUU